rnacentral:misc_RNA from 1 species
AAGUCGUAACAAGGUUUCCGUAGGUGAACCUGCGGAAGGAUCAUUGCUGGAUUUACACACCCACGUGCACCCCCUUUCACACCCCAGUCUGUGUCCGUCCUCUUAUUUGGGAAAUCUUAACACAACUUUCGGCGAUGGAUCUCUUGGCUCUC